rnacentral:rRNA from 1 species
UACGUAGGGGGCGAGCGUUGUCCGGAUUUAUUGGGCGUAAAGAGCUCGUAGGCGGCUCGUCGCGUCGGCUGUGAAAACCUGGGGCUCAACCCCGGGCCUGCAGCCGAUACGGGCGAGCUAGAAUUCGGUAGGGGAGACUGGAAUUCCUGGUGUAGCGGUGAAAUGCGCAGAUAUCAGGAGGAACACCGGUGGCGAAGGCGGGUCUCUGGGCCGAUAUUGACGCUGAGGAGCGAAAGCGUGGGGAGCGAACAGG